AAUUUAAGCCGCCCAUUAGAGCAGACUAGAGUCCAGCUUCAGCAAAACUAAAUCAACCGCGGGCUGCAACGGCGCGCCUGCCUGACGCCCUCUACGCCUACACGAGAAGCUCUCUGCUCAGUGGCGGGGCUCGGCAUACACUCGUCGGCCCUUUGGGCAGACUUGAACUCCGCUGUCUCAGCUCCCUGCUGCGCGCUUGCGCGGCUGCUGGCUGACACUGCGGGUUACGCGCUCGCCUCUCGCCGUAGCGCUAACUGAACAUUGGCUGGGACUCUGUCCGCACCGGAGCCCUGAUGGGCUCCGGCGUUAUACGCAAGUUCUAUAGCUACAAGUUACACAGGACGUUAAGUGUAAUUAAGUGCUGUGUGCUCGGCUCACUAGGUGGCGAAUCUCAACAUGAGACAAAAAGACUAGCCAGCUUUGCGUGCCUGCGAGGCGGCGCAAGCGCGUUGACACGCUUGCCCGUAGCAGGCUGCUUGCUGCAAAGGAACAUUUCAAUUGCGCUGCCACCACUCUCAACUAACCUGUGCUUCCGCUGCAUGCGGUCCCGCUAGCUGCUGCUAAGAAACUUGGACCGGCCGCUCGAGAUGGGCAGCGCAGCGCUGCCCUGUCCAUGGGUGCUGUGUGCGCUGCUGCGCUUUUUUUUCUGGCUGCCCGCUGGCGGGCUUCUGCCGCCAAGCAACCCGGCCUCUUGCCAAUCCGUGGGCUUGCCAGUAGUGGUCAAAAAACAAAAUGCGCGACGAGCUCGUCGUGCACCGAGCGUAGCUGCCCGCGGGCUCCGAAAGUGUGGUGCUGGCUGCGGCAGCUGCUGAAAUGACGUCGUCGUCGUCGUCGUCUUAUAUGACGUCGUCGUCGUCGUCGUCUUAUGUGCAUCACACAGAGCAAAAUACCUCUCUCAUGCAAU
rnacentral:rRNA from 1 species